CAGCAGAGUCUGCUCCUCGGGGCCCGCGCCGAACUCCUUCUUCGUGUAACUGCCCGCCAUGUUUCCGCGCGAGAGACUCGACGAGAAAAGCCGCCCUGCAAGAGCCGACAAUUCAAAUCGGUGUAACAGUCGGUGAACCCGGUGGAUGUACCUGCUUACACGAUCCUAGCUCGAAGAAUCCGCUGGGAACGUGAUGCUUGGACACUUGGACGAUGAUCCUCGGCGCGUCUCCGGCGACGUCGGUCGUGCGGAAGAGGAGAAGGUUGAUGAAGAAGAAGAGUAAGCUCACGCGCGUUACUCGUCCCUACAGUCUGCGCUUCUCCUCCGCGGUUUUCUUCGUCUCACCUGCAAAGUGCGACCGUAACGACGCGCGUUAGUCCCCAGAAUUCACUCGAGCGUGGAGGAGAAGAGUCUCCACGUGGAAAGUGAUUUGGGCGGUACUGAUGCCACCGCAAUCGGAAUGCUCGAAAUGUCGACAAAGAUAACUGGAUCAUGCCCCGGCUGUACUCUCGACUCUCGUCUGGGCGAGAUAACGACCCAUCGGAUACACCCCACACCAGCCGCGUCACGUUGCGUCUUAAUCACGCCGAGAUCGAACUCUUCUCACGGCACGAUGCAAUGCGCGGUCAGGGGUUAGAUGCGUACGAGAGCGUGGAGGAGAAGAGAGGACCGGGAUGAACUUCGUCGUGGAUUGACCGUGUCGAGUACGUACGAGAGCGUGGAACUGACAACGGGACGAAGCUUCGUCGGCGGAACGCGUCCUCGAGCAACUUCAGUCUAUUAUUGGCGCGAUGACCCGCGGCGAACGUUUAAAACGAGAGGAGAGGAAGGAAGGUUCUAGAAUCACCGUCGUCCACGCAGCUCAGGAGUGCACCACGUCGUCGUCGUCGUCGUGGAGUCGUUAUUCCCACGCGGCCAAAGACAGAAAGCGAGAGACAAGUGAGAGAGAGAGUAAUAGUUAGUCAACGAUGUCGAGAGCGACGAUCCUCGUAGGACGAGAUCGCUCGAGAUACGACGAGGCGAACUGCGCGACGACGACGACGAGCAGGCGGCACGCGAGCCAUACCAUGUUACCCGUCCCGCUUAGGUUAGGUCUGGGGGUUGAGAGUUCAUCGAGAUACGCCUUCUCUCCUCUUCUCCCUCCACCGCGGCCGCUGCGCGCGCGAAGCGAGAUGCGCCGAAAAGUGCCGAAAGCGUGAGCCCGUCGCGAGUCGCGCCGAUGAAUGAAACGAUACGACGGCGAGGGACGCGUGCACGUCUUGCAAAGUCACUUCCGGGAUCCUGAUCGGGAUACGUACGCGCCGUUACACUCACACCCUUCGCACGCUCCUGCGAGAGUCACCUCCUUGGCCACUUUUUCCCUCCAUUGCGUUUCUUCGACGUUACACUCGCUCGCUUCCUUCGACGAGGUGUGGGAAGUGUAAGAGGUGCAGGUGGAGAGAAUGGACCGACUGCACCUCUUUGCACCUGGCGUUGUCCUCGUGGAAGCAAGUGUGCGUGUCUAUGUGUUUCGAUUUAAAUACGGAAAUUGCGACUAACGAACACACCGCGUUUGCGGUUUCCAUCUAUACUGUGUCUGAUUAGAUCGAUGGUGCUUCAUGCAUAUAAAAAUAACGCGACGAGAGCGCUGUCAAUAAUGGUUAUCACGGUGGAGCCUGUCCGCGCGUUUCGACAGCUUAUUUGUCCAGCUGUGCGACGCGUGUGGAAACAAAACUGAAAAAUUGAAUAAAAAAAAACGAGAUGCACACAGUGUCCCAGAACUCGUGACCUACAUUUUGCACGAAAGCUUCGAAUUGAUUUCAAUCCAACUCGAUAAAUUAAUUGCAGGAUAAUCGUUGUGAAGAGACCAAUUUGGUUAGUUUUACGAGAAUGUCGAUUUCCCAGAUGCAACCCUUAUAGAAAUAUACUAAGAAUCAUUGAUAAUUACUUAUUUUCAGUAUUAAAAAUACUGGAUAAUAAGUAAUUAUCAAUGAUUCUUAGUAUGAUAUUUCUAUAAGGGAAGUGGCCUUUGCGAUCUAAAUUUGGCUUACCACAAAUGAAUUAUUUCUUCCCAUCAAUUUGGAGUGAACUAACAAGAUUCGUAACACAGAACUUGGUUAUCUUCUCUCUCUCUCUUUGUAUCAACUUUUCUCUAAAUUAUUUUUAGAAAAUAUUUUAGAAAAAUAUAUCAUGUUGAAAAUUAUAGAGUCACUAUUACUAUUGGUAAUGAUCAUCUUCAAUGUUUUUUUGUUGAGGAAAAAUUGUACUUAAAUUUCUUGAUAAAAUUAAGGUUGCAAGUUUUAGUAUAUCCUGUAUAUCUGAGCUGUGUAUGCAAGAUAAAAUUUUGAUAACACGAUAGAGAGAUAACACACGAGAGGAUAUAUGUGUAUAUUUGGGUGUAUGUAUGUUCAUAUGUAUGUAUGUAGGUAUUUUUCAAAACUACGAGCUCAUAAAUGUUCAUUAUGUACAAUUUUUUAUAUAUACAAGAAAAUGGCAGUUUUACCUAUCACAUGUCUCUCCUAAUCAGUUGCAUUUCUCUUUGCGAUUCUCUACAUCUUCUGUAGCAUUAACCCCAGGUCUCACACUGAUAUCGAUUGUUUUUCUCUAAAUGCGUGAUAAAUGCUUCUGCCUCUUCCUUUGUCAUUUCACCUGUUUCCUUCGUCAAACUGACGAAUUCGUCGCGCACAUUGUUUGGCAUGUUCUUUGAGUUUCCUGCUAGAUAAAUGCUGCCAUCGUUCUGCAGAAAUUGCCAACACAAAUCUCUCUGUUGAUGUAUAACGUGUUGCACAUACCUAAAAAAUUAAAAAGAAUAUUAGAAAUUAAGUAGGUGCAAAAUAAAAAUAUAAUUUUUUUA